AACGAACGCUGGCGGCAUGCCUAACACAUGCAAGUCGAACGAGACCUUCGGGUCUAGUGGCGCACGGGUGCGUAACGCGUGGGAACCUGCCCUUAGGUUCGGAAUAACUCCCCGAAAGGGGUGCUAAUACCGGAUAAUGUCUUCGGACCAAAGAUUUAUCGCCUUUGGAUGGGCCCGGGUUGGUUUAGCUGGUUGGUAGGGUAAAAGCCUACCAAGGCGACGAUCCAUAGCUGGUCGGAGAGGAUGAUCAGCCACACUGGGACUGCGACACGGCCCAGACUCCUACGGAAGGCAGCAGUGGGGAAUAUUGGACGAUGGGCGAAAGCCUGAUCCAGCAAUGCCGCGUGAGUGAUGAAGGCCUUAGGGUUGUAAAGCUCUUUUACCCGGGAUGAUAAUGACAGUACCGGGAGAAUAAGCACCGGCUAACUCCGUG
rnacentral:rRNA from 1 species